rnacentral:rRNA from 1 species
GCAAGUCGAGGGGUACAGGGGAGCUUGCUCCCGCUGACGACCGGCGAACGGGUGAGUAACGCGUACGUAACCUACCUUCAAGAGAGGGAUAGCCCUGGGAAACUGGGAUUAAUACCUCAUGGCAUCAUAAGAUCACCUGAUCUAAUGAUUAAAGCUGAGGCGCUUGAAGAUGGGCGUGCGUUCUAUUAGAUAGUUGGUGAGGUAACGGCUCACCAAGUCAGCGAUAGAUAGGGGGCGUGAGAGCGUGGUCCCCCACACGGGUACUGAGACACGGACCCGACUCCUACGGGAGGCAGCAGUAAGGAAUAUUGGACAAUGGGCGAAAGCCUGAUCCAGCCAUUCCGCGUGUAGGAUGACGGCCCUCUGGGUUGUAAACUACUUUUAUUUGGGAAGAAACCCUGGGAUUUAUCCCGGGCUGACGGUACCAAAAGAAUAAGCACCGGCUAAUUCCGUGCCAGCAGCCGCGGUAAUACGGAAGGUGCAAGCGUUAUCCGGAAUCACUGGGUUUAAAGGGUGCGUAGGCGGUUGCGUAAGUCAGAAGUGAAAGCUCACAGCUUAACUGUGGAAUUGCUUUUGAUACUGCGUGACUAGAAUUAGGUUGAGGUUGGCGGAAUGUGACAUGUAGCGGUGAAAUGCAUAGAUAUGUCAUAGAACACCAAUUGCGAAGGCAGCUGACUGGACCUAUAUUGACGCUGAGGCACGAAAGCGUGGGGAGCGAACAGGAUUAGAUACCCUGGUAGUCCACGCCCUAAACGAUGCUUACUCGAUGUGUGAACUAUUGCGCAUC